rnacentral:rRNA from 1 species
GAUGAACGCUGGCGGCGUGCCUAAUACAUGCAAGUCGAGCGAACGGACGAGAAGCUUGCUUCUCUGAUGUUAGCGGCGGACGGGUGAGUAACACGUGGAUAACCUACCUAUAAGACUGGGAUAACUUCGGGAAACCGUAGCUAAUACCGGAUAAUAUUUUGAACCGCAUGGUUCAAAAGUGAAAGACGGUCUUGCUGUCACUUAUAGAUGGAUCCGCGCUGCAUUAGCUAGUUGGUAAGGUAACGGCUUACCAAGGCAACGAUGCAUAGCCGACCUGAGAGGGUGAUCGGCCACACUGGAACUGAGAAACGGUCCAGACUCCUAAGGGAGGCAGCAGUAGGGAAUCUUACGCAAUGGGCGAAAGCCUGACGGAGCAACGCCGCGUGAGUGAUGAAGGUCUUCGGAUCGUAAAACUCUGUUAUUAGGGAAGAACAUAUGUGUAAGUAACUGUGCACAUCUUGACGGUACCUAAUCAGAAAGCCACGGCUAACUACGUG